GCGGGAGUAACUCAGUGGUAGAGUGUCAGCUUCCCAAGCUGAAGGUCGCGGGUUCGACCCCCGUCUCCCGCUCCA
rnacentral:tRNA from 1 species